rnacentral:rRNA from 1 species
CCUACGGGAGGCAGCAGUGAGGAAUAUUGGUCAAUGGCCGUGAGCCUGAACCAGCCAAGUCGCGUGAGGGAUGAAGGUUCUAUGGAUCGUAAACCUCUUUUAUAAGGGAAUAAAGUGCGUGACGUGUGCCGUUUUGUAUGUACCUUAUGAAUAAGGAUCGGCUAACUCCGUGCCAGCAGCCGCGGUAAUACGGAGGAUUCGAGCGUUAUCCGGAUUUAUUGGGGUUAAAGGGUGCGUAGGCGGCGGUUUAAGGCAGCGGUGAAAGUCCGGGGCUCAACCCUGGAAGUGCCGUUGAAACUGGGAGGCGUGAGUAUGUGAGAGGCAGGCGGAAUGCGUGGUGUAGCGGUGAAAUGCUUAGAUAUCACGCAGAACCCCGAUUGCGAAGGCAGCAUGCCAGGGCAUGACUGACGCUGAUGCACGAAAGCGUGGGGAUCAAACAGGAUUAGAUACCCGUGUAGUC